UACGGAGGGUGCAAGCGUUACUCGGAAUCACUGGGCGUAAAGGGCGCGUAGGCGGCCUAGCAAGUCUGGUGUGAAAGCCCAGGGCUCAACCCUGGAAGGGCACUGGAAACUGUUAGGCUUGAGUUCCGGAGAGGAGGGGGGAAUUCCCGGUGUAGCGGUGAAAUGCGUAGAUAUCGGCAGGAAGACCAAGGGGGAAGCCAGGGGGCUGGCCGCAGGCUGACGCUGAGGCGCGACAGCGUGGGGAGCAAACCGG
rnacentral:rRNA from 1 species